GAUGAACGCUGGCGGCGUGCCUAAUACAUGCAAGUCGAGCGAACGGACGAGAAGCUUGCUUCUCUGACGUUAGCGGCGGACGGGUGAGUAACACGUGGAUAACCUACCUAUAAGACUGGGAUAACUUCGGGAAACCGUAGCUAAUACCGGAUAAUAUUUUGAACCGCAUGGUUCAAUAGUGAAAGACGGUCUUGCUGUCACUUAUAGAUGGAUCCGCGCUGCAUUAGCUAGUUGGUAAGGUAACGGCUUACCAAGGCAACGAUGCAUAGCCGACCUGAGAGGGUGAUCGCCCACACUGGAACUGAGACACGGUCCAGACUCCUACGGGAGGCAGCAGUAGGGAAUCUUCCGCAAUGGGCGAAAGCCUGACGGAGCAACGCCGCGUGAGUGAUGAAGGUCUUCGGAUCGUAAAACUCUGUUAUUAGGGAAGAACAUAUGUGUAAGUAACUGUGCACAUCUUGACGGUACCUAAUCAGAAAGCCACGGCUAACUACGUG
rnacentral:rRNA from 1 species